rnacentral:tRNA from 1 species
AAGGCCUUAAGUUAAAGCUAAACUAAUAACCUUCAAAGCUAUAAAUAAAGGGCGUCCUUUAGGCCUUG